UACGUAGGGUGCGAGCGUUGUCCGGAAUUAUUGGGCGUAAAGGGCUCGUAGGCGGUUUGUCGCGUCGGGAGUGAAAACCAUGGGCUUAACUCAUGGCUUGCUUUCGAUACGGGCAGACUAGAGGUAUGCAGGGGAGAACGGAAUUCCUGGUGUAGCGGUGAAAUGCGCAGAUAUCAGGAGGAACACCGGUGGCGAAGGCGGGUCUCUGGGCAGUAACUGACGCUGAGGAGCGAAAGCGUGGGGAGCGAACAGG
rnacentral:rRNA from 1 species